UACGUAGGGGGCGAGCGUUGUCCGGAUUUACUGGGCGUAAAGGGUGAGUAGGCGGUUGUAUAUGUCAGGUGUAAAAGGCUAUGGCUUAACCAUGGUUAGCACUUGAAACUGUGCAACUUGAGUGCAGGAGAGGUAAGCGGAAUUCCUAGUGUAGCGGUGAAAUGCGUAGAUAUUAGGAGGAACACCAGUGGCGAAGGCGGCUUACUGGACUGUAACUGACGCUGAGUCACGAAAGCGUGGGUAGCAAACAGG
rnacentral:rRNA from 1 species